CACACACCUACGCAUGGCCCCCAAGUUAGAUGAUGGCAUUCGGCAUGUGACCGACUACAUAUUCAGUGCCCUACCAACUAACUUGAUGGAUGACUGGAUAGCACCACUCAUUCGGACUCAUUCGGCCUGCUGCCAAAUCCAUAGGUGUGGGUGUCAGCCGAGCGACUGAAUAUCAAGCGUGGCCACCACACUAUCCCAUCGGUCACAUUAAGUCCCAUCAUCCAAGAGC
rnacentral:lncRNA from 1 species